rnacentral:antisense_RNA from 1 species
UGUUAUGGCGGCUGUGAGCGGGACACCUCCGGGUGUGCCGGGUCCCAGGAGUCCCGGUCGGCCAACCUGCGUACAGCUGUCACCCAU